GCGCCCCCGCCCCGCCCGCGGCCCCGGACACGGGGCGGGACCGAGCGGCGGAGGCGCCGGGGCCGGGCCUCACGGAGCCGCUCGGGUCUCACGGAGCCGCCCGGGCCCCUCGGCCGAGACGGGAACUGCAGCCCAGCCGUGCCUGACGCUUCAGGCCCAAAGGAUUUUCUUCAUGCCAAAACUUGCCCUGUGCCUCUUUACUAAAGCUGCAAGACUUUCCCUGGAGGAGAGAGGCCUUGGAGCUUUUAUUAUGCCUUGCAAGCCCAGAUUACAUCGAUCACAUUGACUGGUCACAACUUGACUCAUGCAAAGACCAUCUGAACAUCAGAGGCUCUUUGGGACCCAUGAGAGAGCCCCCUACACCAACUAAAGAUGGUGGCACAGGAUACUGAUUUUGCUGCUUCAGUAAUAAACUAUGUCUAAGCAUUA